rnacentral:rRNA from 1 species
GCAAGUCUGGUGCCAGCAGCCGCGGUAAUUCCAGCUCCAAUAGCGUAUAUUAAAGUUGUUGCAGUUAAAACGUCCGUAGUCGAACGUUUGCCUAAUGUCCAGGCCUCUCAUCAUUCAGUUGUUGAGUUUGGUCUUGGACUGGGCACAAAGUCUAGAUGGCUUGAGUCUCUCGGGGCUUGAGUCUAUUCACUAGGCGUAUUACCAUGAGCAAAUCAGAGUGUUUAAAGCAGGCUUUUUAAGCUUGAACGUGUUAGCAUGGAAUAAUGAAAUAUGACCCAGGGUCUAUUUCGUUGGUUUUGAGACCCAAAGUAAUGAUGAAUAGGAGUGGUCGGGGGCAUUUGUAUUUCGGCGCUAGAGGUGAAAUUCUUGGAUUGCCGGAAGACAAACUACUGCGAAAGCAUUUGCCAAA